ensembl:lncRNA
GUGGGCAGAAAGAAAGAUCCAGCAACAUUUUCAUUUUUUUUCAGAUAAGUAAAUGUUUUAUGGGAUGCCCCGGUAGAUUAAAGGUUAUGUUUUAUUGACAAGACAUGACUUACUUGGGGCCCUGUAAAUGCAACAUAGUUGUGAAAGCAGUUAGUUUUAGAAUAGACUUAGGCCUAUUGAGUAGACCUAUAUUCUAGCUGUCAAUCUUAUAAAUAUGUAUCUAAAAAUGUUUUAUAUAGCUAGUAGAUGACUGGUUUCCUGUUUCUGCUAUCACAAAUGGGAAAUUUAAACUUUUCAUAUUUUUCUCUUUUGUUUUUCCUCUCUGUAACAUAGAGACUACACAUUUAGCCCAUGUGUGGAUAAUAUUGGCAGCGGGUGGUUUGGAAAUGUACUACUCUAAGGUGGACAGCUGCAGCAUUACAGCCCCUUUCUGGGACAUCCCUGAAGGACAGUGGUGAAGGGAAAUCAUCACAGUGCUCAGAACUUCGGGCAGUGCACCUGGUAUUACAUUUUGCCUGGAAGGAGAAACGGCCAGAUGUGCAAUUGUAUACUGAUUCAUGGGCUGCAGCCGAUGAUCUGGCCAGAUGGUCAGGAACUUGAAAGGAACAUAACUGGAAAAUUGGUGACAAGGAUAUUUGGGGUAGAGGCAUGUGGAUAGACCUCUCCAUAUGGGCAAAGGAUGUAAAAAUAUUUGUUUCCUAUGUGAAUGCUCACCAAAAGGUGACCUCAGCAGAAGAAGACUUUAACAGUCAAGUGGAUAAGGAGACUUAUUCUGUGGAUAGUGGCCAACCUCCUUCUUCAGCCACCCCUGUUAUUGCCCAAUGGGUCCAUGAAUAGAGUGGCCAUGGAGGCAGAGAUGGAGGUUAUGCGUGGGUUCAGCAACAUGGAUUCCCACUUACCAAGGCUGAUCUGGCUAGAGCUGCUACUAAAUGCCCAAUAUGCCAACAGCAGAGACUUACACUGAGUCCUCAAUAUGGCACCACUCCCUGGGGUGAUCAACCUGUGACCCAGUGAAAUGUUGAUUAUACUGGACCACUUUCAUCAUGGAAAGGACUGUUCUUUGUUCUCACUGGCAUAGACAUGUAUUCUGGAUAUGGAUUUUCCUUCCCUGCAUGUAAUGCUUUUGCCAAAACAACCAUCUGUGGACUCACAGAAUGUCUUAUCCACCAUCAUGGAAUUCCACAUAGCAUUGCUUCUGAUCAAGGAAUGAAUUUGACAGUCAAAGAAGUGAGGCAAUGGGCUCAUGCUCGUGGAAUUCACUGGUCUUACCAUGUUUCUCACCAUCAGGAAGUGGCUGGAUUAAUAGAAAGGUGGAAUGGUCUUUUUAAGACACAGUUACUAUGCUAGUUAGGUGGAAAUAGCUUGCAGGGAUGGGGAAAGGUUCUUCAAAAGGCUCUAUAUGUUUUGAAUCAGCAUCCACUAUAUGGUACUCUGUCUUCCAUAACCAGGAUUCAUGGGUCCUGGAAUCAAGAGGUGGAAAUGGGAAUGGUACCACUUACUAUUACCCCCAGUGAACUAUUAGCAAAAUUUUUGCUUUCUGUUCCCAAAAUGUUCCAGAAGGGGGAAAGCUUGUACCAGGAAGCACAACAAUGAUACCAUUGAACUGGAAACUAAGACUUCCCUCUGAUCAUUUUGGUCUCCUCCUGUCUCUGAGGUAACAAGCUAAAAAGGGAGUCACAGUGUUGUCAGAGAUGAUUGACCGAGACUAUCAAGGUGAAAUUGGACUCCACAAAGAAGGAAAGGAAGAAUAUACUUGGAAUGUAGGAGACUCCUUAGGGUGCCUCUUAGUAUUACCAUGUCCUGUUGUUAAAGUCAAUGGAAAACUAUAACAAUCUAAUCCAGGAAAAAUGAUAAAUGUUUCAGACCCUUCAGGAAUGAAGGUAUGGGUCACUCCACCAGGGAAAGAACCAAGACUUGCAGAGGUGCUUGCUGAAGGCCAAGGGAAUACAGAAUGGGUAGUAGAAGAAGGUAGUUCUAAAUACCAGCUAUGACCCCGUGAUCAACUACAGAAGUAAGGCCUGUAAUUGUACUAUUUUUCUUCUAAUAUUCAUUCUUAAGGAUUGUUAAACCUGUUAUAAUGUUGAAGUUAUGAAAUGUUAGGAGUAAGCAUUACCCAAAGAAAUGUACCUUCCAUUCUGGGGAGGGAAUUAGUGUAUUUCCAUUUGUACACAGGAUAUUUAUAGCAUAUUAGGCAUAAUUGUAUCUGGAGACUGUUUUAAAGAAAUAUAUCUGGUUGCAAAAUUGGCAAGGGGUGGAUUGUGAUGGUUGAGCAAUUGUGUCAACUUGAGAAGUUUGGCUAAGGGAAGCUAAGCUAAAUUGGUUCAGCAUUUCCACACCUUAGGGCAUGGGAGAUGCACCCUAGGGCUGCUCCUUGCCUGAUUCUUAAAAAGGGGAAAUAAGGAAAGAGGCAGCCGCUUCGGUUCCUUUGGAGGAACUCCAGUCUUUGCCUUGGAUAUCAUCUCCUUCUGCUGCAGACUCUUCAGCCUUCCAUCAUAGAUUCUUUAGCCUUCCAGUACAGACUCUUCAGCUAUACAUUGCAGACCCAUUGGCCUCCUGUACAGACCCCCAUAGGACACUGCAGUGAGCUCUAGACCUGAAUCCUUUGGUCUCUAGUAUGCAGACAGACCCUCUGGACUCUUCCUCAUCUGACCCUAUGGGUGGCUAUUAUAAGCCAAUCGUGUAAAUUCUCAUAUAUAUCUAUAUAUCUUGUAUU